AGAAUCAACGCUGGCGGCGUGCCUAACACAUGCAAGUCGCACGAGAAAGGGUAGCAAUACCUGAGUAAAGUGGCGCACGGGUGAGUAACACGUGAAUGAUCUACCUCCGAGUGGGGAAUAACUGAGAGAAAUCUUAGCUAAUACCGCAUAACACUUACGAGUCAAAGCAGCAAUGCGCUUGGAGAGGAGUUCGCGGCCGAUUAGUAGUGGCGGGUAAUGGCCCACAAGACGAUGAUCGGUA
rnacentral:rRNA from 1 species